rnacentral:RNase_MRP_RNA from 2 species
AGGUUCUUCGGAGCUAGCCUUACGGGGUUAUUUCAGAGUUCUAAUGACUCAGCAUACGCCCUGAGAAAGGUCCCCGGACACGUGGUAGAAAGUACCGCCGAACAAAAUUCGGUAGCCUCGAAUCCGAGCCGAUGCAGGUCGGGAGUUUGUAAACUGGGCGCGGUGUUUAAAUUCGAGGAAUUGUCAGAGAGCUAGACAUGACUAGAUUCUUUCAAUGGAUAACAAAACGGGGCCCACUCUUGGAGAACC